rnacentral:rRNA from 1 species
GACUUAAGCAUAUCAAUAAGCGGAGGAAARGAAACUAACGAGGAUUCCCCUAGUAACUGCGAGUGAAGCGGGAAGGAGCUCAAAUUUCGAAUCCCAUGGACUCUGGCCAUGGGAGUUGUAAUCUAGAGAAGCGUCGUCCGCGCUGGACCGUGUACAGGUCUCCUGGAAGGGAGCAUCGUAGAGGGUGACAGUCCCGUCUUCGACACGGAUGCCCAGGGCUAUGUGAGGCGCUCUCGACGAGUCGGGUUGUUUGGGAAUGCAGCUCCAAACGGGUGGUAGACUCCAUCUAAAGCUAAAUACGGGCGAGAGACCGAUAGCGAACAAGUACCGUGAGGGAAAGAUGAAAAGAACUUUGGAAAGAGAGUUAAACAGUACGUGAAAUCGCUGGAAGGGAAACGCUCCGAGUCAGUCGCGUCCGCCGGGGAUCAACCCUGCUCUACGUGGGGCGUACUUCCCGACGGACGGGUCAGCAUCGAUCUCGGUCGUCGUACAAGGAUGGCGGCGAAAGUGGCACUCCCCGGAGUGUGUUAUAGCCCGCCGUUCGCAUGCGACGGCCUGGGAUCGAGGAACUCGACACGGACGGGGCUUCGGCCCGCGUCGGCGUGUCCAGGAUGUUGGCGUAAUGGCUUCGAGCGACCCGUCUUGAAACACGGACCAAGGAGUCCAACGUGCCUGCGAGUGUUCGGGUGGCAAACCCGGGCGCGUAACGAAAGUGAAAGUCGGGACCUCCGUCGUGGAGGGCACCGACGCCCGGACCGGAGCCGAAGGCUAAGGAUCUGCGGUGGAGCAUGCACGUUGGGACCCGAAAGAUGGUGAACUAUGCCUGAGUAGGGCGAAGCCAGAGGAAACUCUGGUGGAGGCUCGUAGCGAUUCUGACGUGCAAAUCGAUCGUCGAACUUGGGUAUAGGGGCGAAAGACUAAUCGAACCAUCUAGUAGCUGGUUCCUGCCGAA